CCCUUAGAUGUCCUGGGCCGCACGCGCGCUACACUGAUGCAUUCAACGAGUAUUUCCUUGGCCGAGAGGCCUGGGCAAUCUUUUAAACCUGCAUCGUGAUAGGGAUAGAUUAUUGCAAUUAUUAAUCUUGAACGAGGAAUUCCUAGUAAACGCAAAUCAUCAAUUUGCAUUGAUUACGUCCCUGCCCUUUGUACACACCGCCCGUCGCACCUACCGAUUGAAUGGUCCGGUGAAAUCUCGGGGUUGUGGCCAGUUCACUUUAUUGGGAGUUGGCUGCGAGAACUUGCUUAAACCUUAUCAUUUAGAGGAAGGUGAAGUCGUAACA
rnacentral:rRNA from 1 species